UACCAGCACCCCAAGUGGUCGGGACGAUUAUUGGGCCUAAAGCAUCCGUAGCCGGUUUUACAAGUCCUCCGUUAAAUCCAGCUGCUUAACAGAUGGGCUGCGGAGGAUACUAUAAGACUAGGAGGCAGGAGAGGCAAGCGGUACUCAGUGGGUAGGGGUAAAAUCCGUUGAUCCAUUGAAGACCACCAGUGGCGAAGGCGGCUUGCCAGAACGCGCUCGACGGUGAGGGAUGAAAGCUGGGGGGAGCAAACCGG
rnacentral:rRNA from 1 species